GACGAACGCUGGCGACGCGCUUAACACAUGCAAGUCGAACGGAAAGGCCUGCUUUCCCUUGUGGAUUGCGGGUACUCGAGUGGCGAACGGGUGAGUAACACGUGAGUGAUCUGCCCCCAACUUGGGUAUAAGCCUGGGAAACUGGGUCUAAUUCCCGAUAGGACUGCAGGGUGGUGCCUGUGGUGGAAAACGAUUUUCUAGUGGUUGGGGAUGAGCUCGCGGCCUAUCAGCUUGUUGGUGGGGUAAUGGCCUACCAAGGCGGCGACGGGUAGCCGGCCUGAGGGGGUGGACCGCCCCAUUGGGACUGAGAUACCGCCCCGACUCCUACGGGAGGCAGCAGUUGGGAAUAGUGCACAAUGGGCGGAAGCCUGAUGCAGCGACGCCGCGUGGGGGAUGACGGCCUUCGGGUUGUAAACUCCUUUCGACCGCGAGGAAGCCACCUGGUUGGAAGGGUGGUGACGGUAGUGGUAGAAGAAGCACCGGCUAACUACGUG
rnacentral:rRNA from 1 species